GUUUAUCAUUAACAUUAUUAUUAUUAUAUUAUUAUUGUACUUCUUAGAUGUCACAUUGGCCUUGCGUAAAGCUUGCUGCCCACACAGUCGCAAUGAGCGCCAUAGAGGCGAGCCAAAAGGAACACGACGAGACAGAAACCGUGUCUGCAAUGGCCUCUCUAUCUAUGCAGCAGCCUACAAACCUCACGACCACGCCAGAACAUUCCCGAGAGGUCUCUGAGGAGCCAAUGGAGCAGGAUGAGGCCAAAUGAGCUGCAUGAAGAUCAUUCUGCUAGGUGUAGAAAGCAUUAAUCAAUUGCACAAAACUGUGUAAAUGCUCUAUUAAGAUCUCUAGAAGUGCAUUUCUCAGUGCAGAUCGAGGGAUUCGCCGUCACCAUGCACGGCUGCUGUGACAGGCGCACGGUUAGCUAUACGAAUAUUCCACUUACGGAAACACAUGGUCGACGACGACGUGUGUAAAUUUGUACACAGUCCCGAAUUUAAGAUUUUUCAAAUGAUUUUUUUUUUUCCAAAUAAGACGAUAGAUAAACAACGGCCAAGUAAUAAGGAAGAAGUGAUCUGUAAUGUUUCGGGAGGUUGAAUGACAAUUUGCGAUGGUAUGUCGCCGACCUCUCGUAAUUUUUUUUUUGUGCUAGACGCGAAAACGUAAAGUUGUUUGUGAGUUUUGCAAAUGUUUCUAUUGCACAUUUCGCGCAUUUGAUGUGCGAAAUUUGUUGUAUAGUUAGCUAUGGAUGACAAAUUGUAUUUGUCUACUCUGUAGAUUUCUUUUUUUUUUUUUUUUAUUGUGGAUCACAAGAUUUGUAAUCUUUUUAACGAAUCACUGUUAACAUUGUUGAGAUGAACUCGAAACGCGCUAAAUAGCUUUUGCCCACCAAUUGGAGAUAUCGCUUGACAAAAUUUCGAUCCCAGUGUCUUAUCGACGAACAACGAAUGGUUUCGAGACUUGAUAUAAAAAAAACUGGAAUGGAGACAUUUUGUAAUAUUAUUAACACACUUGUCUGGACGGUUCCAUUUGAUUGUUGUGGAAAACAAAAAAAUUGUAGAUCAAACGCAUUUUUGUCGUUCGAUGAUUCGGUGGGAGAAAAUAAAAAUUGUGAACACGCGUUCUUCGAAAAUGACGAACAUGCGCGAAUAUUUUGUUGAUGUUAUCGAUAUAUAAGUGGUAAGAUGUCGAACUUUCUCUCACAGCUGUAUAAAAACAAGUCUGAUGCAUCGUGUUGCCUUGGAUAAUUCGCAGGAAGAAUUAAUUAUUCGUGAUAAUCCGUGUAUAUAUUUUUGAAUGCUAAUUGCGACCUCGGACGUCUACUUAGCACAUUUUCAACGAGCCGUAUUUUAUCGAAACAUUCAGGGAGACAAGUACAGGGAAUUUGAGAAAGAGAGAGUUAUGUUAAUACAACAAAUGUAUAUCUCGAAUCGUAGAGAUUCUCUUUUUGUAUUGCGCCUAUUGUUAUGCAAGACACGGAUGGAUAAAUACAUCAACCAUAGAAUGGGUAGUGAUGGGUGAUUUUAUGAACAAUUCAUAUGGCUACGAGAACAACAAUCGGCAUAAGUGUCUUUGUUUGUGUACGAAAUCCACUUUUCUAAGAUUACUUAGGAAUAUAUUUCCUAUAAAUCAUCAAAUGAAAGGAUUAAGUAGAAAUGACAAAAACAGUAGCAUAAAUCACUGAAUGCUCGCUGUUUCUCUUUUAUAAUGGAUAAGAGAUCGAGAAGAAAAAAAAAGAGAUAGUUCUGAUAAUAUAGAAAUAUAUAUACAUAUAUAUUAUAUACGAUUAAAAAAAUUAAUUAUUUUAUAUAUACGGAAGUACUCUUCGUGUGUGUGGCGAUCCGAAGAAGUUUCCCCAUUAAAGAUAAAGAUUUGGUAAAAUGUGUAAAAAAAAAUUAUAAGAAAGGAACCGACACACAUUGGUGAAGUUAACUUCAUGUCGAGCGAUACUUUUCGGAAUAAGUAAUGCGCGUCGCGACAUACGCGGAUUUUUUCCCUGGAGGGAGGAGAGGUGUCAGACUAUUUAAUCGGUGUGCGCGUAAAAAAAGAAACGUACAAAAAUGUUCUCCGGAUUUCCAGAUUCUCGCGUGUACGUCAAGGCCUCGCUGAAAGAGUGCAAUAAGAACGACGAUUGGACAACCGUGGGUUUAUAAAAGACAAGUAGCGUUUAGAUGUAUUUUCUCCGCCUUCAACACGUGCGGUCUACACACAGUGAAGACACGCGCGUGUCGCGCGUCGUGCUGGUCACUAGCGCUUUCAUUGUUUCGUCGUCCGAUUUGCUUUCCUUGUUCUUCGGGCAUUCAGAGUACGAGAUAGCGAGAGCUCCGCAGUGCGUGAACCACUUUAUCUCAAAUCGAGGCGACAAAAUUCGUGAUAAUGUUGAAGAAAAAAAAAAAAAAGAAAAAAGUCGAUGUCUAGACUCUAAGGCGAUAUUAUAACGUGUGCGCGAAUAAUGUGCGAACGUAUAUGUGCGAUACCACGUGCACGCGGUAAAAAAAAAAAAAAAAAAACGUGACAGAACACUAUCAUACCGAGAUCCUGAGAAAUGCCAUGAUAGUCGAUGCAGAUUGUUUCAUGACUAAUUUCGAAUGUUGUCAGAUGAUGCGCGAUAACUUUUGAUCCUUUCGCAAUUGAGAAAAUUACAUAACUCUCAGAUUGGAACUGACAGGUUUUAUCUGGAUCAUAAUUUUGUUACAAUUCGAUUACAUUUACAAGCCUGGUUGCAACUCGAAUAAUUUAAUUGAUUUGACUGAACUUUUCAUUCACAUACGAUUAUUUGUAUACAUAAAAUAUUGAUAAAAUCAAUAAAAUGCAUAUUUGUUAAACGCACAUUGAUUGAGAAAUGUUUAAAAUAAAUUGGAAACGCGUAGGGAGAUUGGCGUUGCAGUUGAGCGUUUUUCUUCGAAAUUUCCAAUGAUACAUCGUGACUCGAAGCUCUUGUAAAAUAUUCGCUGCAUAGAAUUUCUCGUUUAUCUGUUACGUAAAUCACUGCCAAUUAUAUGGCAUGACUGCAGGUCAUUCCCACGAGCACGUGCAAUUGCAUCGAUACACCGUUGAUAUAUGUUAAUGUUUUCAAAUGCGAGAACGAUGAACGCAGAAUGGACCGGGAGUACCGUUUUAACGAGAUUUUAACAUGGUUUCUUGCUGCGAACAAAGGCUGGUGUGAUUUUUGUGAUAUUUUGUAAAAAGAAGAAGAUAAGCUAUAUAUGGUUAAUUAAGUGUAUACGUCGCGAGAAGAGUGUGUGUAAGAGAGAUGGAAAGAAGAUAAAUAUAAUUCACAAAUAUAAGCAUUUA